rnacentral:rRNA from 1 species
GAUCCUGGCUCAGAUUGAACGCUGGCGGAAUGCUUUACACAUGCAAGUCGAACGGUAGAGGGGGCAACCCCUCGAGAGUGGCGAACGGGUGAGUAAUAUAUCGGAACGUGCCCAGUCGUGGGGGAUAACGUAGCGAAAGUUACGCUAAUACCGCAUACGAUCUACGGAUGAAAGCGGGGGAUCGCAAGACCUCGCGCGAUUGGAGCGGCCGAUAUCAGAUUAGGUAGUUGGUGGGGUAAAGGCUCACCAAGCCAACGAUCUGUAGCUGGUCUGAGAGGACGACCAGCCACACUGGAACUGAGACACGGUCCAGACUCCUACGGGAGGCAGCAGUGGGGAAUUUUGGACAAUGGACGCAAGUCUGAUCCAGCCAUUCCGCGUGCAGGAUGAAGGCCCUCGGGUUGUAAACUGCUUUGUACGGAACGAAAAGGUUUCCAUUAAUACUGGGAGCUCAUGACGGUACCGUAAGAAUAAGCACCGGCUAACUACGUG